rnacentral:rRNA from 1 species
UACGGGGAGAGCAAGCGUUGUUCGGAUUUACUGGGCGUAAAGGGCGCGUAGGCGGCCACCGCAAGUCAGUUGUGAAAGCUCUGGGCUUAACCCAGAAAGGUCAGCUGAUACUGCGGGGCUAGAGUGCAGAAGGGGCAACUGGAAUUCUCGGUGUAGCGGUGAAAUGCGUAGAUAUCGAGAGGAACACCUGCGGCGAAGGCGGGUUGCUGGGCUGACACUGACGCUGACAGCGCGAAAGCUAGGGGAGCGAACGGG